AGAGAACCAGACACAGACAGCUCAGUAGGAGACAGACAGGAGAGACCUAUCUUGGGAGCACCUGAGUAUGGACACAGUAACAGUCCAGGCUGCAGGGCAGCAAUCUUGAGGUGGUGUGGUACCCCACGACCCCGCUGAGGAAAGAACCUCUCCAGACACUAAAGUGGGCGGAGCCAAUGGAUCCUGCACCCGCCCCCCAGAGGUCAAGGCGCAGGACAGAAAGUAGAAAAGCCCAACCCCGGAGCUCAGUUGGGCAACAGCAGCCAGAGAGGUCAGACGCCCGUGGCCUGGCUCCAGCUUGGGAGACCCCAGCAAGCUGCGGCUGACCCAAGGACUGGCCGAUGCCUGACGCUGACCGAUGCCCAGAGGAGCGGCCAAGUCUACCCCUCGCCAGCUACCCAGAGGAGCUGCCAAGUCUACCCCUCGCUGGCGACCCAGAGGAGUCCAUGGUGCUGGAACCCUCCGAGGACACCACCCUGACCCCGGUACCCUAUGAGGGGGAGUCCGGAAGUAGCCCAGGGGCAGGUGACCCCAGUCUGGCUGCAGCACUGCCAGAGCCAAUGUCAGUGUGUUGCAGCCAGGAUCCCCACUGACACAGCAGCAGGUCUUUGACCGCUGCACACAAACGGAGGGAGUAAGAGCACUCAGAGGUUGUUGGAUCGGCUGUUGAGCAAAACUGUUCUUAUAAAAUCAACAUAUGCAGAGCCUGGAUUUAAUGAAAAUAAUCUGAUUGCAAAAAAUGGAAACCAUCCCUUAUGUAUGUUGCUUGCCUGCAAAUUACAAUGCUUCCCAUAGUGGGGGAAAAAGCAAUAAAAAGGAGGAAAAAUAUUACUUGGUUGUCCUGCUCUGUUGGACUCUGACCUCUGUUUCUAUUUCAUUAGGUGAUGGACUUAGAUUUUGAUUUUUUUAAUUAAAUCACCUUAACUGGUAAAAGAGUAAGUUUUCUCUCUGAUGGACAUUUGCAUAGGCCUGAGUGAAAGCAAAAAGCACUAGAUGACAUUGUUAGUGUUGAUAUGUAUGCUGUGGAAGUUCUGAAAUGUAUCUUUGCAAUAUAUUUAGCAAACACAGGCCCACUGAAAUAUCCAGUGCAUUGUUGGCAGUGUGUCUGGUUCAAAAUUGGGAGUGUUUUUAAAUGCUGAACCAUAAAUGGUUUUAGGGAUAUUUUCCUCACCCCCACAUGAUGUUAGAACAAAAUAUUAUUCCAGGCCUCAGGAUCAGUAACAUUUUCCUCAACCAACAGCUGGCACAGUUUCUUAAACAGGAACUACCAUACCUGGUGUUAUUUCAAACUCCAUCUAGUUGGGAACUUGGUAGUCUGUCUCAUGUUUCAGAGGAAAGUGUAAAUUCCCUGUAAUGCAUAAUAACAUAUUUAUAGAGGAAGUUUAAUCAGUGGUAAAGAAUGGUGCAUGUUAUAAAUUUUUAAUUAGUAUAAAUGUAUGUGAUACUGUCACUCAAUAAAUGCCUACUAAGC